rnacentral:rRNA from 1 species
AACGAACGCUGGCGGCAGGCUUAACACAUGCAAGUCGAGCGCCCCGCAAGGGGAGCGGCAGACGGGUGAGUAACGCGUGGGAAUCUACCCAUCUCUACGGAAUAACGCAUGGAAACGUGUGCUAAUACCGUAUACGUCCUUCGGGAGAAAGAUUUAUCGGAGAUGGAUGAGCCCGCGUUGGAUUAGCUAGUUGGUGGGGUAAAGGCCUACCAAGGCGACGAUCCAUAGCUGGUCUGAGAGGAUGAUCAGCCACACUGGGACUGAGACACGGCCCAGAAUCCUACGGGGGGCAGCAGUGGGGAAUAUUGGACAAUGGGCGCAAGCCUGAUCCAGCCAUGCCGCGUGAGUGAUGAAGGCCCUAGGGUUGUAAAGCUCUUUCACCGGUGAAGAUAAUGACGGUAACCGGAGAAGAAGCCCCGGCUAACUUCGUGCCAGCCGCCGCAGUAAGAC